UACGUAGGCAGCAAGCGUUGUUCGGAGUUACUGGGCGUAAAGGGUGCGUAGGCGGCUGUUUAAGUUUGGUGUGAAAUCUCCCGGCUCAACCGGGAGGGUGCGCCGAAUACUGAGCGGCUAGAGUGCGGGAGAGGAAAGUGGAAUUCCUGGUGUAGCGGUGAAAUGCGUAGAUAUCAGGAGGAACACCGGUGGUGUAAACGGCUUUCUGGACCGUAACUGACGCUGAGGCACGAAAGCGUGGGUAGCAAACAGG
rnacentral:rRNA from 1 species